rnacentral:lncRNA from 1 species
AAAGGAGGAAGAAGGAGAAAGGAAGUGGUGAGGACAGAGGCUUUUCCUAAGCUGUGAAGUGAGAGACUUGUGGGUAGCCAGAGGCCCAAACACUUAGGGUUGUUGUGAGAAUUAAUCAAGAUAUUGUCUGAAGAUGUCUUCCCACAAUACUCAGCACAUGGUAGGUGCCCAAUGUGAAGGCUAGUCUCAUUGUCGUGGGAUUGCUGAAGAGGCUUCGUAUGUGAGCAGUUGAGAAGGUGAGAGAGCACUUCUUUCUUCUAGCACUCCAAAUCCAAAGUUCACCCUGGUUGGACAACUUAAGUUGCAGCUACUCCUUGAAUCAAUCAUCACUCAAAACCAGGGCAGUGGAAUUUGUUGGCCAACCUAAGUCAAUCAAUGAUCACCUCUGGAAAUGUGGGCAGUGUCUGCAUCUACGAGCUAUAGGAAAUACACAGGAAGACUGGAUACUCAAAUAAAAAUCUGGACACAGUCAGGAAGUCAAGAGCAGAGAAUGCUGAUUCAGGCCUGGCCCAUCAUAGUAUCCAUUCACCUGAACAGUUGGAGGACCAAUCAGAGUCUUCACCGGGGAUUUUGAUGUACACCAAUAAAGUUAUCCACCUACCCCA